rnacentral:rRNA from 1 species
GGAAUUUUCCGCAAUGGGCGAAAGCCUGACGGAGCAAUACCGCGUGAGGGAUGAAGGAUUUUGGUCUGUAAACCUCUUUCUCAAGAAAGAAGUUCUGACGGUACUUGAGGAAUAAGCAUCGGCUAACUCCGUGCCAGCAGCCGCGGUAAGACGGGGGAUGCAAGUGUUAUCCGGAAUUACUGGGCGUAAAGCGUCUGCAGGUGGUUUUAUAAGUCUACUGUUAAAUCUUGAGGCUCAACCUCAAAUCUGCAGUGGAAACUAUAAGACUUGAGUAUAGUAGGGGUAGAGGGAAUUUCCAGUGGAGCGGUGAAAUGCGUAGAUAUUGGGAAGAACACCAGUGGCGAAGGCGCUCUGCUGGGCCAUAACUGACGCUCAUGGACGAAAGCCAGGGGAGCGAAAGGGAUUAGAUACCCCUGUAGUC